UGUAUUCACUACUGUAAGUCGCUCUGGAUAAGAGCGUCUGCUAAAUGACGUAAA
rfam:Salmo salar isolate Sally breed double haploid chromosome ssa10, whole genome shotgun sequence.